rnacentral:lncRNA from 1 species
AAAUAAUUUUAUUUUAACCAACGUCGGAAAGACUCGCUUCGAAAUAAAGACAUAAAUAAAAUGAGAAUGUCGAAAGGACACGUUUUGUUUCAAUUCUUUCAAGUAAUUAAAACUUUUACUUAAUUAACUUUAAGUAGGCUCCACUUUUGGGCACGACGCACGAUCUAAGGUUGGGAAUACUCAUCUUGGUUAGUGUAAGCUAAUGCCAGGGAUACUCGUCCUAGUUUGACAUUAAUAAAUUCAUCUGGGACAUAGGCAAACAUGAAAAUCAAAUAGAAUACAAUUUAUCCAAAAAUUAAUUCAAGCCAAUUUUAGUCAAUAAAAGAGAUCGUGCUAGAAUCACGGGACUCGGGGAAUGCCUUACACCUUCUCUUCGGUCAACAGAAUUUCUUACCCGGACUUUUUUUCGCAGAUCAAUAAUAAUAUAGUCAAACCUUCCUUUGACUAGGGAUUCAAACAAAAGAUUACUUGAAACACCCAAAAAUCAAUUCGAAGUAGCGACUCUGAACAAUAAAAUAAUCUUGACUCAAAUUUGUCACUUUACUUGAAAACUCUUUAACCCACAAUCCAUAACACACACACAUAUUCUUUGUGGGGGUAAAAAAGUGGUGUUAU